rnacentral:tRNA from 1 species
GCCGGCAUGUCGGAAUGGCAGACGAGGAAGACUCAAAAUCUUUUGGUGGCAACAUCGUGUGGGUUCAAGUCCCACUGCCGGCA